GGGCCCGUGGGGUAGCUUGGUAUCCUUGUAGCUUGGGGUGCUAUUGACUCCGGUUCAAAUCCGGACGGGCUCA
rnacentral:tRNA from 1 species